AUUUGUUUAACUGUGGCAAAAGAAAAUUGAUAAUCUGUUAACUACAUAAAUAUAUUAUAGGUAGAUUAUAGUAUGUGUUUUACUAUCAUAUUUAGUAGGUAGGUUUUUGUUUAAACUAACGUUUAAUAAGAAUAGAUUAUUUAAAGGGGAUAGGACACAGUGCCAGCAUCUGCGGUUAGUCUGUUUUCUUUGUUUUUUUAUAGAUUGAGAUUUAUUUAUAAAUAAAUAAAACUAGGUUAAAUUAUUUUAUAAUUAUAUCAUAUAUUUAAAUUAGUUGAUAGUAUAGUGUAAUGACAGGGAUUAGAUACCCCAUUAAUAUAUACUUGUAACAAUAUCUUAGUUUAAUAACUAAAAUGGUUUGGCAGUGAGCGACUCUUAUUAGGGGAAGGUGUGGUUUAAAGGAUGUUCCGCCUAUUAAUUUACUUUUAUUAUGUUGGUGUAUAUCUGGUUUAAUAUUAUUGUUUAAUAACUUAAUUUGUGAAUGUGGUUAGUUAAGCCAAGUCUAUGUGCUGCUUAUAGAAGUAUUCAUGCGUUACAAUGAUAAUAAUAUAAUUGUAAGAUUAUAUAAUUGAGGACUUAAUAGUAAUGUUUAAUAAGUUUGUAGAUGUGAAGAAAGUUUAGCUCAGGUACACACCCGCCGCCACCCUCGAUUUUAUAUUGAGGUAAGUCGUAACAAGGUAACUUUAAAUGAAUUUGAAGUUGGUUACUGAAUUGUUUCAGUUUAA
rnacentral:ncRNA from 1 species